GAGAGAAGAUUGCCGUUCCGAAGUAGAUCUAAGAUUCGUGUGAUCUACGAUUCGUACGAUUGGGCUUCUUUCAAUGUUUGGUCCGGUCUAGGAGGCAAUUUCCCGGCUUGAAGUACAUCGAUAUUUCUCGUGAGGUUUGCUUCUCUCCAAGUUUGUAAGUCAUUAAAGAGAUGCAUUUGCUGCGCAACAGUGCUUUGGAAGUUUCCCACAUCAAUUGAGCCGAAGUGUUAUUUUCAUUUUCCCUACUAAAAGAUGUGUUAAGUUCCUGCAUUAGUUGUUCUCGUAAUUUUGUUUCACACAAUAAAAUUGUAUUGAA